GCACCCUCACUCCCGCUUCUGUCGACAUUUUCCAAUGACCCAUGAACUUCCACCAAAAGAGAAAUUCCAUCACCAUCGACACCAUUUCCAACUUCCGGACUCUCCUGCUCGAUAAUAACACCAGUAUCCACAUUUCCAUUAUCACCAGAAACCCUAGGCCCCUCAUCAGGUAACCCAGGUCCAGGACCAGUACCACCAGUAUCAGCCAUUAGGGUUUCAGAAUCAACUGCUUCAGCUGGGAUUUUGUUCUUCUCUACGUUUUCGUCACUCGACAUACCCAAAAACACUAAAAUUUCUGCAAAAAUGAAGAAAAAUCAAAACACCUUAGCUCAGAAAAAAAAUUCCAAAAUUACAUAAAACACACAAUCACAUACACAAAAAUAAAGCACCAUAAAGAAACGGACAAAACAAUCAAAGAAUAAAAUUUCAAUAAACCUAGGGUUUCGGGUUCCAUUUUUUGCAGUCCUGAAAAGGCAUGUAUACGAACACGAUAACAUAACAGGGAAAACAAUCGAAAAAGAAAAAAAAAAAAGAAGAAGAAGAUGACUACGAUAUACCACAACAACAUACACUAUAAUCACACAAGUGUGGUGUAAAAUAUACGCAGACCGUAAACUACCUCAUAGAAUUAAAAAGAUCAUUUUCGAUAGACCCUGAUAUUAAAUAAAAGGAAAAAAAAAAAAAACACAAAGGGAGAAAGGUAACGUACCAGAACAGAAGGGAAUUCGCAGAGUUGUAAAAUGAAAAUUGUAGAAAUCGCAGAGAGAGUAUAUAGGGGGGGUGCCUUUGUUUUGGACAAAUAUGUACAUGUACUACGGGACUAUUUGUUUCUAUAAACAGUCAAGAAGAGAGCUGGACGGUUGAGAUGUAAUAUAUUCAGGAUUGUUUCAUUAACUCUUUGAAACGAAAGUGAGAGUGAGGUGGACGGUCGAGAUGUAACGUAUGAAAUGAAAGGACUUCUAAAUAAAAAUUUCCAGGGAUGUACGCGGUAAUUUUUGGGAAUCUUCUUGAAUUUUGAAUCAUCUAAUAUUUACCUCUCUCUUUCCCCUCCUGCUCGAUAAUAACACCAGUAUCCACAUUUCCAUUAUCACCAGAAACCCUAGGCCCCUCAUCAGGUAACCCAGGUCCAGGACCAGUACCACCAGUAUCAGCCAUUAGGGUUUCAGAAUCAACUGCUUCAGCUGGGAUUUUGUUCUUCUCUACGUUUUCGUCACUCGACAUACCCAAAAACACUAAAAUUUCUGCAAAAAUGAAGAAAAAUCAAAACACCUUAGCUCAGAAAAAAAAUUCCAAAAUUACAUAAAACACACAAUCACAUACACAAAAAUAAAGCACCAUAAAGAAACGGACAAAACAAUCAAAGAAUAAAAUUUCAAUAAACCUAGGGUUUCGGGUUCCAUUUUUUGCAGUCCUGAAAAGGCAUGUAUACGAACACGAUAACAUAACAGGGAAAACAAUCGAAAAAGAAAAAAAAAAAAGAAGAAGAAGAUGACUACGAUAUACCACAACAACAUACACUAUAAUCACACAAGUGUGGUGUAAAAUAUACGCAGACCGUAAACUACCUCAUAGAAUUAAAAAGAUCAUUUUCGAUAGACCCUGAUAUUAAAUAAAAGGAAAAAAAAAAAAAACACAAAGGGAGAAAGGUAACGUACCA
rnacentral:lncRNA from 1 species